UACGUAGGGUGCAAGCGUUGUCCGGAAUUAUUGGGCGUAAAGAGCGUGUAGGCGGCCAGGUAGGUCAGCUGUGAAAACUCGAGGCUCAACCUCGAGACGUCGGUUGAAACCACCUGGCUAGAGUCCGGAAGAGGAGAGUGGAAUUCCUGGUGUAGCGGUGAAAUGCGCAGAUAUCAGGAAGAACACCCGUGGCGAAGGCGGCUCUCUGGGACGGUACUGACGCUGAGACGCGAAAGCGUGGGGAGCGAACAGG
rnacentral:rRNA from 1 species